rnacentral:tRNA from 3 species
GGUCCCGUAGCUCAGCUGGAUAGAGCGACAGCCUUCUAAGCUGUUGGUCGCAGGUUCGAGCCCUGCCGGGAUCGCCA